rnacentral:lncRNA from 1 species
UUAGGAUUGAGGUAAUGCUGUCCUCAUAGAAAGAGUUUGGAAGUGUUCCUUCCAUUUCUGUGUUUUGACACCACUUUAGAGGAAUGGGUAUUAAUUCUGCUUUAAAUGUUUGGUAGCAUUCCCCUGGGAAGGCGUCUGGCCCUGGGCUCUUGUUUGUUGGGAGAUCUUUGAUUACUGACUGCUUCAGUUUCCUUGCUGGUUAUGGGUCUCUUCAGGUUCUUUAUGUCUUCCUAGUUCAGUUUUGGUAGUUUAGACGUCUCUAGGAAUGCAUCCAUUUCUUCCAGAUUGCCUAAUUUGUUGGCAUUUUGUUUCUCUUAAUAUGUUCUUAUAAUUGUUUGUAUCUUUUGGUGUUAGUUUUGAUCUCUCCUCUUUCAUUCAGGAUUUUAGUUAUUUGGGUCCUUUCUCUUUUCUUUUUGAUAAGUCUGGGCAGGGUUUUCUCCAUCUUAUUAAUUCUUCCAAAGAACCAGCUCCUAGUUUUGUUGAUCUGUUCUACUGUUCCUUUGGUUUCUAUUUCCUUGAUUUCUGCCCUAAUCUUAUGUCUCUUCUCCUGCUGGUUUCAGGCUUUAAUUCCAAGAUCUGUAGAAAAUCCCCACAAGAUACUUGGGCGAUGAAGGGCGAUGGCUGGCCCAAUUGUACAGUGCCUUCCUCUUAAGGCCAAACAGAGCAUUUUCAAUGUGAAGAGGGGAAGAUGUGUAUAUAUGUAUGUAUGUGGAUAUAUAUAUGAAGGAAAGCCACUAAGAAAGCCAUUUGUGAGUUCUUUGACUUGAACUAUUUUCCACUUUGCUUACUUUCUCCUGAUUCUCUUAGGCCUUAAGGGCUUUCUUUGUUGCACUGCAUGAUCCUGUCCUGUUAGGCAUCCUCACAUUGUUCUGUGAUCAUGAUUUCUUGAAUGUCUUUUCUCAUAUCUGUCCUAAAGGGCCAAGAAGAAUUGGAGGAUGGAGAGCAGAGAGCCUUGAGGGCCAAAAAACGAGCACUGCAGGAAUGUGAGGAAUUAUUGGAAGACCACUACAAUGCCCUGAGUUCUUUGAAAACAACUCAAGAAGCCGAAUUGAAAAUGCUGAGGAGGAAAGUGGAUAUUGUGGUGGAUUUCUCUAAACAAAGACAAGUGGCUGCAGAAGAACAAGAAAUUGGAGAAAUGCAAGAUCAGC